rnacentral:ncRNA from 1 species
AUCUUUGAAUUAAAUUAAGGUUGUGUUACACCAAAAACACAUUAAAAGGGAAUCAAGUCAAAAUCUUCAAAAUACAUUUUGAAUGUUUUAUAAUCUUGAGCUGUACCCGCAACUGUAAGCUUAGUUCUUGAAAAAGAAUGAUUGUUGUUAACUGCAAACCACUGCUCGCGAAAACGAAUGGGAAGGUAAACAACAAAACGCAAGCCAGGAGACCUGCCUUUGAAACAAAACAUCG